GCCUGGUUAUCUCAAUCGGUAGAGUGUCAGACUCUUAAUCUGAACGUUGCGGGUUCGAGCCCCGCAUCGGGCU
rnacentral:tRNA from 3 species